rnacentral:rRNA from 1 species
UACAUGUGGGGCAAGCGUUGUUCGGAAUUACUGGGCAUAAAGGGUGCGUAGGCGGCUUGUUAAGUCAGGGGUGAAAGUUUUCGGCCCAACCGGAAAAUUGCCUUUGAUACUGGCGAGCUGGAGUGCGUGAGGGGUGACCGGAACGAGUGGUGUAGCGGUGAAAUGCGUAGAUAUCAGGAGGAACACCGGUGGCGAAGGCGGCUUUCUGGACAGUAACUGACGCUGAGGCGCGAAAGCUAGGGGAGCAAACAGG